rnacentral:rRNA from 1 species
CCUACGGGAGGCAGCAGUGAGGAAUAUUGGUCAAUGGACGAGAGUCUGAACCAGCCAAGUAGCGUGAAGGAUGACUGCCCUAUGGGUUGUAAACUUCUUUUAUAUGGGAAUAAAAUGUUCCACGUGUGGGAUUUUGUAUGUACCCUAUGAAUAAGGAUCGGCUAACUCCGUGCCAGCAGCCGCGGUAAUACGGAGGAUCCGAGCGUUAUCCGGAUUUAUUGGGUUUAAAGGGAGCGUAGGUGGAUUGUUAAGUCAGUUGUGAAAGUUUGCGGCUCAACCGUAAAAUUGCAGUUGAAACUGGCAGUCUGGAGUACAGUAGAGGUGGGCGGAAGUCGUGGUGUAGCGGUGAAAUGCUUAGAUAUCACGAAGAACUCCGAUUGCGAAGGCAGCUCACUGGACUGCAACUGACACUGAGGCUCGAAAGUGUGGGUAUCAAACAGGAUUAGAUACCCGUGUAGGC